rnacentral:rRNA from 1 species
AAUACGUUCCCGGGCCUUGUACACACCGCCCGUCACACCACGAAAGUCGGCAACACCCGAAGCCGGUGGCCUAACCCGUAAGGGAGGGAGCCGUCGAAGGUGGGGUUGGUGAUUGGGGUG